rnacentral:lncRNA from 1 species
AGAAGAUAGGUAACUUGGAGAACAAGGCUGUCCGUACAACCUAAGAGUGACUUGCAAGGAAAGGAAGCAAGUCAUGAGUUAACCAGCUCGGUCAAGUGUUUAAAAGAGCUCCAAGUGAAUGGGAAUGUUGACAUGUAUCCGUUGAAGAGAAGCGAGUGGAGGAGUCACGGGUGUGCUUAAGAGGAGAGAGGGAGAUGACCUUUGGGAGCUGUCACUAUCUCUCUUGCUGGACGAGCCAUCCGCUGAUCUACUUCCCCUUUGUUUAUUCUUUCCUUUGUAUUAUCUUCUCAUUGUUUAUUCACUCUUGUAUGCCUUUAAAUAUCCUGUCAUAUGUAACAAAUCAAGUAAGGAAACAAAUUCUCCUUCUAUUCUCUUUGUCACACUCUCACGGAAACUCUCUCCAUCUCUCACUCUUCUCUCUUAACCUCUCUUUAAUCUUCUAAAAACUCUCAUGGUAUCAGAGCAGCUUUGCUCUUGAGACCUAAAUCUCUUUUUCUUCCGCAAACUCUCUGUGUUUUAUCCCUAUUUUUGGCAAAGUUCAUCCAGUUCUUGAGGUGUUCUUCAAUCCCAUUUCCAGAAUUUGCCAAAAAUAGCAAAGUUCAUCCAAAACUUUUGUUUCUCUUUCUCUCUUGAUGGAUACCUCCGAGAACCCAAAGAUGGUGAUGAUACCAGUUACUCUCAAGGGUCCUAACUACCUGACAUGGGCA